AUUCCAUCCCUCCAACCCUUCUCUAGAGAACCAGGCAGGCAUGCCUUGACUGUAAGAGCAGAGCCUCAGACACACUCAGAUUUUCCAAGCCAUUUGGAUGCUGUGAAACUGUAAAUGGCAGAAAUAGUGAAACUGGGUUUAGAUUCUGAGAAUCUUAUCUGAGAAGCUUCUGUGUGUUUUCCUUAGUUAGCUUUCAAGGAAGAAGGUUUUAGUGAGGUGUCAGUGGCAACGAGAGAACCCAGCAUACCAACACACCCUCACUGGACGGGCUCUUUCCAGAAAGUGCACACAGUGGGAAGACCCUGGGGUUAGCUCAGACUUAAUGUUAUUCAAGGACUAGAAAGAAGGCCAAUGUGUUGGGAGCUGAGAACAAAAGGGAGUGUGGUAGGAGAUGAGGUCAGAGUGAGCGAGGGCCCCGAUCUUGCAGUACUGUAUUGCUCCACAGAGGAGUGUUGUUUAGGCAUUCAAACUCCUUCACACAAACAAACCAAGCAAAUAUUUUAGGCCUGAAUUGUUGGGUGCUGAUGAUACAGAAAUGAAUUAGACAAAGUCUUCAUUGUCAAGAAACUCAAACUCUAACAAGAAACAAAGACAAGUGAGCAGGCAGCUGCAUCACAGAGCAGCAGUACUGAUUCAAGCAGAAAGUGUAAAGUACAACUGGGCACAUGGGAGCCUACAUGCUUGGCUGGUUACUAUGCAGAUGGCGGAAGGAGCCACCUUUGAAAACAAGGAGCAGCUCAGAGCACCCUGAGGAGCAGCAAGCAGAGGCAGCUAAGGAAGACAAGCAUUACAGAGGCAGACUCAAGAGGAUCUCUGUGAGUUUGAAGCCAGCCUAGUCUACAUAGCAAGUUCCAAGAUAGCCGAGACUACAUGGACAGAUCCCCUUGGCACAAAAAAAAAAAAAAGAAGGAAGGAAGGAAAGAAGGAAGGAAGGAAGGAAGGAAGAAAGAAAGAAAGAAAGAAAGAAAGAAAGAAAGAAAGAAAGAGGAAAAGAAAGAAGUCCACCAUUUUUCCAGUUUCUCAAAACAGAGUUUCUCUAUGUGCCCUGGCUGUCCUGGAGCUUGCUCUGUAGAGCAGGCUGGCUACAAACUCAGAGAUCCACCUGCCUCUGCCUCCUGGGAUUGAUGUUAUGCUCCACUACCGCCUAGCUUAAGAGCUAGAUUUCCUGCUUGGUGGUCUCUACAGCACUGUGUAGUUAAGAUGUUCUCUGGCUGGCUAGGCCUUUCCCCGGCUCCUUCAAUGAAGACUUGGAAGCUAACAGAGGACAACCAGAGGUUGGAGUCCAGUGGUGCUUAGCACUUCAGCAGAGAGAACCCCACCUUUCUCAUUUGCUGGACUUUGCCAGAAGCUGCAUCUUGAGUACCCCGAAGUGACAGCCGCUGUAGAAACAUUCGUGGCCCCAGGAACACAGCAGAGGCCGCAGGCUGUGAGGCAGAGCUGGGUUCUGAGAUAGGCACUGGCCGCUUCAGAAGCUCCUUCAUCUCAUGGCCAGGGCUGUUGUUUCCAGGGGCUGUGGCUCUGUCUUCCUUGACAUGGCAAACAGCCGCACCAUCCCACAGCUUCUACCACGGUUGUAGACUGAUGCCUGCUCCUCAUCUCCUAUCCUGUCAGGGCUGGCAUUGAGAAAUAGCAUGGCUGACUCUCCUGGGACAGGAGGACUUGCCAAAACAGCAAUUUUUAAAAGGAAACCACGAAAGUUGCAGGCAAAUUCCAAUGUAUUUCGCAGGAAGCAGCUGACAUGGGCAGAAAAGCCAAUGCAGCCUCGGAAAAGUUUUCCUAAAGCCACAUUCAGAGCCUGGUUUUAUGGGGAAGGCAAAUGACUUUGCUGUAGUGUUCUCUUGAAUUUGGCAAUCAAUAAUGUAUAAGUGCACAAAAAUAGAUCUGAAUAGCAAGAGAGGAGAGGCAAACAAUCUUCAAGAUGAAAAGAUAUCCAUUAAAGUGUACAUCUUGUGAAAA